AGCGAACGCUGGCGGCAGGCCUAACACAUGCAAGUCGAACGGACCCUUCGGGAUUAGUGGCGGACGGGUGAGUAACACGUGGGAACGUGCCUUUAGGUUCGGAAUAGCUCCUGGAAACGGGUGGUAAUGCCGAAUGUGCCCUUCGGGGGAAAGAUUUAUCGCCUUUAGAGCGGCCCGCGUCUGAUUAGCUAGUUGGUGGUGUAACGGACCACCAAGGCGACGAUCAGUAGCUGGUCUGAGAGGAUGAUCAGCCACAUUGGGACUGAGACACGGCCCAAACUCCUACGGGAGGCAGCAGUGGGGAAUCUUGCGCAAUGGGCGAAAGCCUGACGCAGCCAUGCCGCGUGAAUGAUGAAGGUCUUAGGAUUGUAAAAUUCUUUCACCGGGGACGAUAAUGACGGUACCCGGAGAAGAAGCCCCGGCUAACUUCGUGCCAGCAGCCGCAGUAAAAC
rnacentral:rRNA from 1 species